CCUGGCGCGGGGACCCGUGGGCGGGGAUGGUGGUCGUGUCCCCAAGCCCUGCGUUUGGGCCGGUGCUUCCCACAGCUGUGCGUUAUCAGCCCCAUUUCACAGUUUGCUAAAGCAGAGGCGUACUACUAUCAAUAGCAUCAAGAAAUGAUGAUGGAAGAAGCAUGGAAAUACAAUAUGGUUCCAAAAUGGGAAACUAAAAUAGAGGAAGAGGAAAAGAGAUCACAACGUGAGAAAACAGAAGAUACUAAAAAAUGGGACUAUCUAGUGCCUGAGAGGGAACUGAGUCUUACAAAGAAACAUAUACCAGGCUGAACAAACCAGAGGCCUCAGAGACCACAAACACCGACUGCUCCCUCAAAGAAUUCCCAGUGAAAUACUUUCCCCUAAAAUACUAACACGGGAAAAGGAUGGAAAGCAUGAAAAUAUCCAGAAAACACACAAAACUGAAACCAGUAAGCACAAGGUGGCAUGGACAAAGGAACAGAUGAAGGGACACCAAGACCGAAUGAUCUGAGGGAGAGAACUCAAAGCAAAGACACGCUCAGAAGCGCUCCAGCCCCGUUCCAUCUUUCCUAAAAUCUCAAGUGGAAAAAGAGAAGGUGAAAGAGUUUGAAUGGGUCACAGCUUAUCCAAUUUUGCAACCUUACCAGAAAGCACUUAGGAAAGUGAUGAUUCUGAUGGAGAAAUAAGAAAAAAGAGAGUAUAAAAUUAAGAAACCACUCUGAAGGGAGCUCUUGAGUAUGCCACCAUUUUUGAGAAGUCAACUAGAAAAAAAUAAGGUUUAAAUUAUUUUAUAUUUUUUAGACUAGCAUACUUUUAAUCAUUAAUGCAAUAAAACAUAUACUCCCCUGGUUUUUUUAAGUGCAUCAAACUGGCAAAAAUUAAAAAAGCCACAAGCACAGUAUUUCCAAGUGUUUCAGCUGGCUGUGUGACAACUCUAAAACUUAGUGACUUAAAGCAACCACCACUUUAUUAUAUCUCGCAGUUCUAUGUCAGGAAAUCAGACAGAGCUCAACUGGACAUUUCUGUCCCAUGAGGUACCACCAGAGCUGCCUGGGGAUAUUCAGGUGAUGACUGGGCUCAUCUGGAGGGUCCAAGAUGGCUUCCCCACAUGCCCUUGGCAGGGAAGGCUAGAAAGCUGGGCCUCCCUGGCCCAUCUCUCAUUUGCAGCUCUCCAUGUGGUUUCAGUGCCACGUGGUAGUUGGACUUAUUAUUCGGUGACUCACGACUCCACGAAUGUGUAUUCCAAG
rnacentral:lncRNA from 10 species